rnacentral:lncRNA from 1 species
GUUGCGCCCAGGACAACACUUGCUGCAGCCAAGAAACAGAAAGUAUAUCUCUAUUCGUUCAUCCCCUUGGUCUUAGGGUUGCCCCUAAGACGACGUACAUACCACCUCCUGACACCGCCGUACCGGAAAGCACUUUUCCGGUACGGGCAGAGCCAGCAGCAUUCCAGGUUCAGAAUUGAACCCAAAGGCAGAAAUCACCAUUCUGAGAGUUGAACGUCGCCAUCCAUGAUUUAGACAUACCAUUCCAUGGCCUGUGCAUGCGCGUCCAUGUCCUUCACUACGUUGCUGCUUGCGGCCAAGAAACAAGUGAUGCAAAACGUUGCCUCAUGUCCAUCCGUCCGGUCCACACACGUAAGAGCAAUUUUCCAUAACACGGGAUGUAAGCACCGUUCGGGAUGUCCGUCGUGUUUGCCUCAGGAAGUCGUCCUCCCGGCGGCGGAUCGGGCCCUAAGCACCGGCCGGUACCAGCUGGUACCAGCUCCUGGAGCCGCUUAAUCGAUGCUGAUCGUGAUGUGUAAUUGGUCCAGCAUAAAGCACAUUCUUCAUCAUCCGGAAGGGAUCCCUUAGCCAUAGUACAUGUAAAGGAUGCGCAGGACAAGCAGUGUAAGAGGUAAUCGGAAAAGAACGCAAAAAAGACUGUUCCGUCCAAAUAGCUAACAAGCUGUACCUUAGCGGAAUGCAGGGCGCUUCUAACAUACAUGCCACCCUUUGGAAGUCAUGUUGUAGGCUUGUCCUGUUUGGUUUAUGUUAGCAUUGCAUUAAGAAGUUCAACGUGAUACCUGCAGGUUAACUGUUUACUGAUAAUUAGUUAUUCGGCGGCGUGCGCAUAUCAUUCCCUUACUUCGCCGGCAGGUCCAUGGAAAGUCCCCGAAAAGAUUACAUAACGUUGCAAAACUCCUUUCAGUGCUUUCGGAAAGAGGCCCUAGAUCUUGAGACCCUGGUAAGCCAGAAAUCUCUGACGGCUAGCGCUGUAAGCGCACCUUUUCCAUCUCCUGUAUUUUCAAAGCAUACACACGAGCGAUACUUAAGAAUACGAAAAUUUUAAACAGUUUAACAGUUCAUGUGGAAGCGUUUGCGGUGCAACUGGCGCGAACAGGACACCAGAGGUCACAGGAAUUACAGCUCUUAUGACUACUAGCAGUAUGUGUGCGUGGUUGUUACAGCAGUAGAUCUUAGGGACGAGGGGUAC